GACGAACGCUGGCGGCGUGCCUAAUACAUGCAAGUCGAACGCUGAAGGAGGAGCUUGCUUCUCCGGAUGAGUUGCGAACGGGUGAGUAACGCGUAGGUAACCUGCCUGGUAGCGGGGGAUAACUAUUGGAAACGAUAGCUAAUACCGCAUAACAGUAGAUGUUGCAUGACAUUUGCUUAAAAGGUGCAAUUGCAUCACUACCAGAUGGACCUGCGUUGUAUUAGCUAGUUGGUGAGGUAACGGCUCACCAAGGCGACGAUACAUAGCCGACCUGAGAGGGUGAUCGGCCACACUGGGACUGAGACACGGCCCAGACUCCUACGGGAGGCAGCAGUAGGGAAUCUUCGGCAAUGGACGGAAGUCUGACCGAGCAACGCCGCGUGAGUGAAGAAGGUUUUCGGAUCGUAAAGCUCUGUUGUAAGAGAAGAACGAGUGUGAGAGUGGAAAGUUCGCACUGUGACGGUAUCUUACCAGAAAGGGACGGCUAACUACGUG
rnacentral:rRNA from 1 species